AAUCAACGCUGGCGGCGUGCCUCAGACAUGCAAGUCGAACGCGAAAGUCCCCUUCGGGGGACGAAGUAGAGUGGCGCACGGGUGAGUAACACGUAGGUAAUCUACCUUUGGAUGGGGAAGUAACAACCGGAAACGGUUGCUAAUACCGCAUAAUGCAGCGGCACCUAAUGGUUGACAGUUGUUAAAGCGGGGGAUCGAAAGACCUCGCGUCUGAAGAGGAGCCUGCGGCGGAUUAGCAGUUGGUAAGGUAAUGGCUUACCAAGGCUACGAUCCGUAACCGGCCUGAGAGGGCGGUCGGUCACACUGGACACUGACAUACGGGGUCAGACUCCUACGGGAGGCAGCAGUCGGGAAUUUUGGGCAAUGGGCGAAAGCCUGACCCAGCAACGCCGCGUGAAGGAUGAAAUCCCU
rnacentral:rRNA from 1 species